CACACACGUUUUUCCCUGCAAACACUGCAAAUCUGUGGCUCCUCACCACCCGCAAGCUCUCAGGAGACCCGCAGACUGCUCUGCCACCUUACAAGGCAACAGCCCUGAACAUACAAGUUUGGAAGGAGUAGAAGGCACCUGAAGACAGUUUAGGGAGCAAACUCAACUGUCCUAGUCAGCUUCAACUAUCAACUUGACAUCUGGAGCAUCUAAGAGAGUCUUAUCUAAGGAAUUGCCUAGAUCCGCUGUUCUCAACCUAUGGGUCAUGACCCUUUUGGGAGUCACAUAUCAAAUAAACUGCAUAUCAAAUACUUAUAUUAUGAUUCAUAACAGUAGGAAAAUUACAGUUAUAAAGUAGCAAUGAAGUAAUUUUAUGGCUGGGGUCACCACAGCAUGAGAAGCCAUAUUAAAGGGUUGCAGCAUUAGGAAGGCUAAGAACCACUGGUUUAGAUCAAUCAGAUCUGCCUGCAUUCAUGUUUGGGAGAGGUUAUUUUGACUGAUGGUUGAUGUGGAAUAGCCCACAUCAGGCAAAGUUUAUCCAUAGUUUCUUUUUUUCGUUCCUGCCCUGACUUCCAUUAAUGAUGAAUUUUGACCUGAACAUGUAAACCAAAUAAACUCUUUCCUCCCCAA